AGAAAGAGAAAGAAAACUCCGAUCGAAAGCUCUCCUCCUUUGCCUUUUCUCCAAGCUAUUUCUUUCAAUCUAGGGUUUCAUCAUACUCUUCUUCUCCACCAAGAAUUCAGGUUUUGGAAAAUUGAAAAUGAUGUCCCUCACCCCAGAUCAUUUCAGAAAAGCUGGAUUGGGGGUUAUGGCACCUCUGAUUUUCUUUAAUAUUUUUCUUAAACAAACAUUUUCUAUUGGAGUCAUUCCAAGAUCGUAUGUUGGAGGGCGGAAUGAGAACUAAGGCGGUCAAUUGCCCGCCGAGGCUGGAGUCAUUCCAAGAGCAGUUCGCCAAAUCUUUGAUUCAUUGCAGAGCUCGAAAAUUUGCAUGGGAAGCGAAGGUAUUGUUUUUAUUUAAUUCCACCUUAUUAAUUGCUUUUGCUAACAGUUCUUAUUUGAAAACCACCUGCAGGAGAUUGAGUUAUACCUUUAUAUGAUCUGCUCAUGCCAUCUUUUAUUAUUUGUCAAUGCCUAAAAAUUUUCCUUAGAAGUCCAAGUUUUUUAUCUCGUUGCCUCCUGGGUUCUUAAUUCUUGUGGCUGAUGGAAUUGUAAGUUAAAUUUUUUCCCAAAAAUACUUUUGCCAAUUAGGGCUUCUUUUGAGUUGUUUAAUUGUUCAAACCAGCUUUUUGUAUCCCUGUGUGUGUUGUGUGGGAAUUCUUUUUGUGUUAAUGUUUAGUUUCUUGUAGCCUAGUAGUUGAUUGGGUAGUCUAUAAAAGUAUAGACUACCCAAGGACCCAAGAAUGGGCGCUGAAUAAAAAUCAAGGAAUAACUGCUAAAUUUGACUCAUGAAAAAGAAUAUCGUUUUUAUCAAUAAAAUCCCAGAUUGCAUGAAGUAUUAAGCGAACUCUGGUGUGGAAUUUUUAGCUAUACUGAACUGGGAAUUUGAAUAUUCUGGAAUUAUCUUCCACAUAAGGGAAUUUUGUUUUGAUGGACGUGAAGUUUUUGAAUAUAGAAACGAUAAUGUUUGUUAAGUUUUAUUGUUUUACUUCAGGGGGAAUAGACAGGCACCAGAAAUGUGCCAAUAUCAAUAAACUAGGAGAAUGUGGUCAUAUAGAGGAUUAAAACUCCUAGAACUACAUGUUUUUGUUAGUUUUUUUAAACUCUAGACAACCUCCUUAAAUUCUAUGUGACAAUAAUAUUUUUUCUUUUCAUUUUUCCCUAAUUUCAAUUUUACUGUGCACACUGGUGCUUGUAAUGACCGGGUAUUUUAUGACACGUUAGCAUUUUUAGUUGUGUUUGGAGAACACGUGUCAAUUUCAGAUUGGUGAAUUUCAUUUUAUUGUGUCGGUCAAUUAGAUGAGUUGAAAUUUUAUGUUAUGUCAGCCUUAGGGUAGAAAAUUUCUUAAGAUUUUAGAAAUUGAAAACUUCAGGAAAC